GGAUACCAAAUCUUCUGGCACCUUGGUCUUGGUCUUCCAGUCUCCAGAACUGUGAGAAAUAAGUUUUUGUUGUUUAUAAACAGUUAAUUUAUCAUUG